UCCUUGCUUGAUCCUGGCGCAGUUCAUAGGCAUAUGGGUUGCUUCGCACGGCUACGAAUGGACAGUUGACGUGGAUUCACGGAAUCCUGCAGAGGUCCCGCACAGAAUCAUGGGGAAGCAUGGAGCCAAAAUGGGCGUCAUCAGCCAGGAUUGCGACGACGGACAGAACCACAUAGACGUAGACUUUGGUGGAUCACCUGAGGAGUACACCUGUACCAUGAAAGACUUGCUGUGGUAUGUCAGUGUCGGAG